GAUGAACGCUGGCGGCGUGCUUAACACAUGCAAGUCGAGCGAAGCGAUUUUGAUGAAGUUUUCGGAUGGAAUUAAGAUUGACUGAGCGGCGGACGGGUGAGUAACGCGUGGGUAACCUGCCUCAUACAGGGGGAUAACAGUUAGAAAUGGCUGCUAAUACCGCAUAAGCGCACAGUACCGCAUGGUACGGUGUGAAAAACCCAGGUGGUGUGAGAUGGAUCCGCGUCUGAUUAGCCAGUUGGCGGGUAACGCCCACCAAAGCGACGAUCAGUAGCCGACCUGAGAGGGUGACCGGCCACAUUGGGACUGAGACACGGGCCCAAACUCCUACGGGGGGCAGGCAGUGGGGAAUGUUGCACAAUGGGCGCAAGCCUGAUGCAGCGACGCCGCGUGAGUG
rnacentral:rRNA from 1 species